rnacentral:rRNA from 1 species
UACGUAGGUGGCGAGCGUUGUCCGGAAUUACUGGGUGUAAAGGGCGUAUAGGCGGGGAAGUAAGUCAGAUGUGAAAUUCCAUGGCUCAACUGUGGCGCUGCAUCUGAAACUGCAUCUCUUGAGUGCUGGAGAGGAAAGCGGAAUUCCUAGUGUAGCGGUGAAAUGCGUAGAUAUUAGGAGGAACACCAGUGGCGAAGGCGGCUUUCUGGACAGUAACUGACGCUGAGGCGCGAAAAGCGUGGGGGAGCAAACAGG